rnacentral:rRNA from 1 species
GAUGAACGCUGGCGGCGUGCCUAAUACAUGCAAGUCGAGCGAACGGACGAGAAGCUUGCUUCUCUGAUGUUAGCGGCGGACGGGUGAGUAACACGUGGAUACCCUACCUAUAAGACUGGGAUAACUUCGGGACACCGGAGCUAAUACCGGAUGAUAUUUUGAACCGCAUGGUUCAAAAGUGAAAGACGGUCUUGCUGUCACUUAUAGAUGGAUCCGCGCUGCAUUAGCUAGUUGGUAAGGUAACGGCUUACCAAGGCAACGAUGCAUAGCCGACCUGUGAGGCGGAUCGGCCACCCUGGAGGUUAGACACGGUCAAGGGGACUACGGGAGGGAGCAGUAGGGAACCGGCGGCAGUGGGCGAAAGCCUGACGGAGCGAGGCGGAGUGAGUGGUGGAGGCCUCGGGAUCGUAAAACCCGGUUAUGAGGUAAGAACAUAUGUGUAAGUAACUGUGCACAGCGUGACGGUAAUUAAUCAGAAAGCCACGGCUAACUACGUG